rnacentral:misc_RNA from 1 species
UGUAGGAGCUGGCUUGCCUGCGAUAGCAGUGGCGACUGAUACACCGCUAUCGCAGGCAAGCCAGCUCCCACA